CCUACGGGUGGCAGCAGUGGGGAAUAUUGCACAAUGGGGGAAACCCUGAUGCAGCGACGCCGCGUGAGUGAAGAAGUCUUUCGUUAUGUAAAGCUCUAUUAGCAGGGAAGAAACUGACGGUACCUGAGUAAGAAGCCCCGGCUACCGACGUGCCAGCAGCCGCGGUAAUACGUCGGGGGCAAGCGUUAUCCGGAUUUACUGGGUGUAAAGGGAGCGUAGACGGCGGUGCAGGUCUGGAGUGAAAGGCGGGGGGUCAACCCCCGGACUGCUCUGGAAACUGUACGGCUGGAGUGCAGGAGAGGUAAGUGGAAUUCCUAGUGUAGCGGUGAAAUGCGUAGAUAUUAGGAGGAACACCAGUGGCGAAGGCGGCUUACUGGACUGUAACUGACGUUGAGGCGCGAAAGCGUGGGGAGCAAACAGGAUUAGAUACCCGGGUAGUC
rnacentral:rRNA from 1 species